rnacentral:rRNA from 1 species
UACGGAGGAGGCAAGCGUUAUCCGGAAUUAUUGGGCGUAAAGCGUCCGCAGGUGGCACUUCAAGUCUGUCGUCAAAGACUGGGGCUUAACCCUGGAAAGGCGGUGGAAACUGAAGCGCUAGAGUGCGGUAGGGGUAGAGGGAAUUCCCGGUGUAGCGGUGAAAUGCGUAGAUAUCAAGAGGAACACCUGAGGUGAAGACGGGUUGCUGGGCUGACACUGACGCUGAGGCGCGAAAGCUAGGGGAGCAAACGGG